UGGGGAAUAUUGCACAAUGGGCGCAAGCCUGAUGCAGCCAUGCCGCGUGUAUGAAGAAGGCCUUCGGGUUGUAAAGUACUUUCAGCGGGGAGGAAGGGAGUAAAGUUAAUACCUUUGCUCAUUGACGUUACCCGCAGAAGAAGCACCGGCUAACUCCGUGCCAGCAGCCGCGGUAAUACGGAGGGUGCAAGCGUUAAUCGGAAUUACUGGGCGUAAAGCGCACGCAGGCGGUUUGUUAAGUCAGAUGUGAAAUCCUCGGGCUCAACCUGGGAACUGCAUCUGAUACUGGCAAGCUUGAGUCUCGUAGAGGGGGGUAGAAUUCCAGGUGUAGCGGUGAAAUGCGUAGAGAUCUGGAGGAAUACCGGUGGCGAAGGCGGCCCCCUGGACAAAGACUGACGCUCAGGUGCGAAAGCGUGAGGAGCAAACAGG
rnacentral:rRNA from 1 species